CUCUUCGGCAAUGGUGAAUCUUUAGAUUAGGGAAACAUGGCAACAGCGCCGUGCAUUCAGCGAACAGAGCUCUGUUCUCCCAAGGUGUCAAGGUUGGGUUUUGCACGACUUCCACAAGAAUGGAGCAGUUAGAUUCCAACACAAGAGCUGAGGAGGCAGUGACGGUGCUGGUAAAGUCGUCGGUGAAUUGGCCUGAAGAGUGUCGGCACACACACGCCACUGAGCCUUCAUAUUGGGCUGAUGGCUUCGUUUGAUUGCAGCACCGAAUGGAUCCAGCGUUUGCUAAAGCCACCUAUACCACCUGCUCAGAAAUUGGCCUCUGCUAGCGGAAGACGAAGUUGUUGCGGGCCUUCUAGAUUUGCCACAGAAUGGAAGCAAUAGUCUCGAUCAGAUUUUGGAGUUGCUGCUUGAGAAUAUUGAUUUGAUGAUGAGAAUUGGCAAACUUUGAUCGACUCCAGCUUGCAAGGGCCUCGGAGACAGCCUGUAACUUUUGAGGAGUGGGCUGUGAUCUGAACCAAGAGUAGGUAAGGCAAAAACUUCUGCGUCGAGGAAGCAAGACCAGCAGGUUCUGGACUGGCGCCUCUCAUGGACACAAUACUGGACACCGAAAGAAGUUGCAGGACUUGCUGGAUGUUUGAAAGUCCACGUCAAUGUUGGAGAAGAUGCUGUUCGAUCCUUCUUGACACAGACUGGUGUGACAGAGCAACGGGAGCAGCGCCUGGCGUGGCAGAUUAGCGGGAGCAGCACUUGGUGUUUAGAGAUCCAAGCGUUUGCUGGUGAAGUUGGGGGGCGCGGCUCACGGACACCACAAGACUCCUGGCGUGGUAUAGCACUUGGAACAGCGGCAAUUGAUACUAGGCGUCCUUCAACGAACACAAUAACAUCACCGAGAAAACACCACGGAAGUGCAUGGAGAUCUCUGACGUCGAAGGAGUCUCCAAGAUCCGCCUUCUCCUCUCAAUUUCUCACCCGUGUCUUCUCAAUUUUUCGUGUACUCAAUUGUCUCCCCCUUCCUUUUGUAAUAUAGCCACCUAUUUAUAGCCGAAUAGACUAGGGUUUCAUUUCCUACUUCAAAUCAAUAUCCAUGAAGAUCACCUCCCAAAUUUAG